ACCUCGAGUCACUCUUCAAUCCCCGUCGUUCGUACACCGUAGAUUUCCCUUGCUGUAUGCAGCACGGACAAAUUAAUUGCAACUGCGAGAAAAAGGGGUUAACACGGAUCACCGAGGCAAAGAGAAGUAUAAAGCUGAAGUGAAAGUCCGUUAUACGUUACGCGUAGUAUAAAAUUGUGGAUAAGAUGAUGGAACAAUGAAAUUUCGAGAUAUCUUAUGAAACUGAAUGCUUUGUUUGAUACACGCGUAAUAUAGAAAUAUCGCGGAAAGAUAUUUAUGGAAAUAUGAGUCACACAGAAGACUUAUCUAUCAAUCUUGUCGUUGGAAGCGCGUGGACAAAUUACGAUGCGCAUUUGUCCUUAAGAAAAUUUCCAGGAAUCUUGAUACAUACAAUCGUCCAGCAAUGUAGAAAGACAAUAACCUGCUUAGUCAGUGAACCGCUGACUUGGCCAGAAGCGAUAAGGAAGGACAAUGAAAAAUCGAUGGUACAUACUUGGAACGUAUGGAGAAACAUUCUCGUCUCGUCGAGGUUGACUAAAUAAAGAUUUAAACUGGCGAACGUGUUGUGAAACGAUGCAGAACUCGUUCCAAGUUUCCAAGUGCUUUGGAUACAACAAAACAGCUUUGCACGCAAUUUGUAUUAUUAAAUUCUCGAUUGUCUUCGUGUAACAAAUCAUUGUUUAACUAUACAAUAGCCACGUAUUUUAAUCGAUUCUAUAAUAAUAAUUCGUUUAUCUCUACUUUAAUCUA
rnacentral:misc_RNA from 1 species